AGUCGAGCGGUAGCACAGGGGAAGCUUGCUCUCCUGGGUGACGAGCGGCGGACGGGUGAGUAAUGUCUGGGAAACUGCCUGAUGGAGGGGGAUAACUACUGGAAACGGUAGCUAAUACCGCAUAACGUCGCAAGACCAAAGAGGGGGACCUUCGGGCCUCUUGCCAUCAGAUGUGCCCAGAUGGGAUUAGCUAGUAGGUGGGGUAAUGGCUCACCUAGGCGACGAUCCCUAGCUGGUCUGAAAGGAUGACCAGCCACA
rnacentral:rRNA from 1 species